rnacentral:rRNA from 1 species
CUACGUGCCAGCAGCCGCGGUAAUACGUAUGUCGCAAGCGUUAUCCGGAAUUAUUGGGCAUAAAGGGCAUCUAGGCGGCCAGAUAAGUCUGGGGUGAAAACUUGCGGCUCAACCGCAAGCCUGCCCUGGAAACUAUGUGGCUAGAGUACUGGAGAGGUGGACGGAACUGCACGAGUAGAGGUGAAAUUCGUAGAUAUGUGCAGGAAUGCCGAUGAUGAAGACAGUUCACUGGACGGUAACUGACGCUGAAGUGCGAAAGCUAGGGGAGCAAACAGGAUUAGAUACCCUGGUAGUCCUAGCUGUAAACGAUGAUUACUGGGUGUGGGCAUGAAGAGUGUCCGUGCCGAAGCUAAUGCGAUAAGUAAUCCGCCUGGGGAGUACGGCCGCAAGGCUGAAACUCAAAGGAAUUGACGGGGACCCGCACAAGCGGUGGAGCAUGUGGUUUAAUUCGACGCAACGCGAGGAACCUUACCAGAUCUUGACAUCCUG